AGCUCCAAUAGCGUAUAUUAAAGUUGUUGCGGUUGAAAGCUCGUAGUUGGAUUUCUGUCGAAAAGGUCGGUCUUCGCUUCGCGAACGCAUCUGGUUCGACUUCGGCAUCCUCGCGGGGAGGCGGCGCCGCGCUUGAGUGCGUGGUUCGCAGCUCGUGACUUUUACUUUGAGGAAAUUAGAGUGUUCGCGGCAGGCAAGCGCUUUGAAUAUGUUAGCAUGGAAUAAUAGUAUAAGGCCAUCGCUGUAUCUUGUUGGUUCUUAGGGCAUUGGUAAUGGUAAAAAGGGAUGAUUGGGGGCAUUUGUAUUAACGCGUCAGAGGUGGAAUUCUUGGAUUGCGUUACGACAAACUACUGCGAAAGCAUUUGCCAAGGAUGUUUUCA
rnacentral:rRNA from 1 species